rnacentral:rRNA from 1 species
ACUUACGGCCAUACCAGCCUGAAUAAGCCCGAUCUUGUCUGAUCUCGGAAGCUAAGCAGGGUCGGGCUUGGUUUGGCUCUAUGACCAUCCGUCAUAGAGUAUAGAGCUGUAGUUU